rnacentral:rRNA from 1 species
UUCUUCGGAUGAUUUCUUAAGUGACUGAGCGGCGGACGGGUGAGUAACGCGUGGGUAACCUGCCUCAUACAGGGGGAUAACAGUUAGAAAUGGCUGCUAAUACCGCAUAAGCGCACAGUGCUGCAUGGCACAGUGUGAAAAACUCCGGUGGUAUGGGAUGGACCCGCGUUGGAUUAGCUAGUUGGUGGGGUAACGGCCCACCAAGGCAACGAUCCAUAGCCGGCCUGAGAGGGUGAACGGCCACAUUGGGACUGAGACACGGCCCAGACUCC